CCUACGGGCGGCAGCAGUGAGGAAUAUUGGUCAAUGGCCGGAAGGCUGAACCAGCCAAGUCGCGUGAAGGACGAAGGUGCCACGCAUUGUAAACUUCUUUUGUCAAGGGACAAAAUCAGGCUCGAGAGCCUGACCGUGGGUACUUGAUGAAUAAGCAUCGGCUAACUCCGUGCCAGCAGCCGCGGUAAUACGGAGGAUGCGAGCGUUAUCCGGAUUUAUUGGGUUUAAAGGGUGCGUAGGGGGACUGUUAAGUCAGUGGUAAAAGCUUGGGGCUAAACCCCGGCGUGCCGUUGAUACUGGCUGUCUUGAGAAGACGAGAGGUAUGCGGAAUGCGCGGUGUAGCGGUGAAAUGCUUAGAUAUUACGCAGAACUCCGAGUGCGAAGGCAGCAUACCGACGGCGAUCUGACGCUGAGGCACGAAAGCGUGGGUAUCGAACAGGAUUAGAUACCCGAGUAGUC
rnacentral:rRNA from 1 species